GGGGAGAGGAGAGAGACGGGGGAGAGGUGAGAGACGGAGGAGAGGAGAGAGACGGAGGAGAGGUGAGAGACGGGGGAGAGGAGAGAGACGGAGGAGAGGUGAGAGACGGAGGAGAGGUGAGAGACGGAGGAGAGGUGAGAGACGGAGGAGAGGUGAGAGACGGAGGAGAGGGGAGAGAGACGGAGGAGAGGUGAGGCACGGGGGAGAGGAGAGAGACGGAGGAGAGGAGAGAGACGGAGGAGAGGAGAGAGACGGGGGGAGAGGUGAGAGACGGAGGAGAGGUGAGAGACGGAGGAGAGGUGAGAGACGGGGGAGUGGAGAGAGACGGGGGAGAGGAGAGAGACGGAGGAGAGGAGAGAGACGGAGGAGAAGUGAGAGACGGGGGAGAGGAGAGAGACGGAGGAGAUGUGAGAGACGGGGGAGAGGAGAGAGACGGAGGAGAGGAGAGAGACGGAGGAGAGUAGAGAGACGGAGGAGAGGAGAGAGACGGAGGAGAGUAGAGAGAUGGAGGAGAGGAGAGAGAGAGGAGAGGAGAGAGACGGAGGAGAGGAGAGGAGAGAGACGGGGAGAGGAGAGAGACGGAGGAGAGGUGAGAGACGGAGGAGAGGUGAGAGACGGAGGAGAGGAGAGAGACGGAGGAGAGGGGAGAGACGGGAGAGGAGAGAGACGGAGGAGAG
ensembl:lncRNA